UACGGGGGGGGCAAGCGUUGUUCGGAAUUACUGGGCGUAAAGGGCUCGUAGGUGGCCAACUAAGUCAGACGUGAAAUCCCUCGGCUUAACCGGGGAACUGCGUCUGAUACUGGAUGGCUUGAGUUUGGGAGAGGGACGCGGAAUUCCAGGUAUAGCGGUGAAAUGCGUAGAUAUCUGGAGGAACACCGGUGGCGAAGGCGGCGUCCUGGACCAACACUGACACUGAGGAGCGAAAGCCAGGGGAGCAAACGGG
rnacentral:rRNA from 1 species